UACGGAGGAUGCAAGCGUUAUCCGGAAUGAUUGGGCGUAAAGCGUCCGCAGGUGGCUGUGUAAGUCUGCUGUUAAAGAGUGAGGCUCAACCUCAUAAAAGCAGUGGAAACUACACGGCUAGAGUGCGUUCGGGGCAGAGGGAAUUCCUGGUGUAGCGGUGAAAUGCGUAGAUAUCGAGAGGAACACCUGCGGCGAAGGCGGGUUGCUGGGCUGAUACUGACGCUGAGGCGCGAAAGCCAGGGGAGCGAACGGG
rnacentral:rRNA from 1 species